CCUACGGGAGGCAGCAGUGGGGAAUUUUGGACAAUGGGCGAAAGCCUGAUCCAGCAAUGCCGCGUGAGUGAAGAAGGCCUUCGGGUUGUAAAGCUCUUUUGUCAGGGAAGAAACGGUGAGAGCUAAUAUCUCUUGCUAAUGACGGUACCUGAAGAAUAAGCACCGGCUAACUACGUGCCAGCAGCCGCGGUAAUACGUAGGGUGCAAGCGUUAAUCGGAAUUACUGGGCGUAAAGCGUGCGCAGGCGGUUUUGUAAGUCUGAUGUGAAAUCCCCGGGCUCAACCUGGGAAUUGCAUUGGAGACUGCAAGGCUAGAAUCUGGCAGAGGGGGGUAGAAUUCCACGUGUAGCAGUGAAAUGCGUAGAUAUGUGGAGGAACACCGAUGGCGAAGGCAGCCCCCUGGGUCAAGAUUGACGCUCAUGCACGAAAGCGUGGGGAGCAAACAGGAUUAGAUACCCUGGUAGUCCACGCCCUAAACGAUGUCUACUAGUUGUCGGGUCUUAAUUGACUUGGUAACGCAGCUAACGCGUGAAGUAGACCGCCUGGGGAGUACGGUCGCAAGAUUAAAACUCAAAGGAAUUGACGGCUGAGACGNGCGAGGACGACGACGAGGGAGGAGG
rnacentral:rRNA from 1 species